CCAAGAGUAGAUGAUAUAUGCCCAUAUUAAAUCAAUGGCAUGCAACUCUAAGGAGGUUAGGUAAUUAAUUAUAGUACACAUAUUUCUCAAGCUAAGCACAUGGAUGAUAGUUAAAGCAUGACAAACAAAUAUUUCCCCACACCUCAUUAGGCAUAAUAAUAAUUAAAAAAAUGCAACCAAUGAAUAUUGUGUGUGUAGCAAGUUCUACUCAUCCUAGUAAUAUCCUUUAUUUAUGCAUUUCUUCAGUUGUAGUAGAUACGCUAUCGAUGGAAUGAGUUAAGUCUUAGAAAUGUUCAUAGUAAAACACACUUGUAUAUAAAUCUUCCUGAACUGAGCAUUAGUCACAUAAGCAUCUCGCACGUGCAAGAAUAAGUAAAUACCACUCAGUCAAUAACCAUUUUUGAAAACGGAGGGUUGUGGCUUAUUUAUUUCUCACUUUUUUCUGUACUUUUCCUUUUUUCAUAACUGAAAACUUUCAGAGUCAAGAGACAGGAA
rnacentral:lncRNA from 1 species